GUGCUAAAGAUAAAAAGUCAGUCAGAGCAUUUCCAUAGAGAGCCACUUUGCAUCAGCAGCACCAUGCUCCAGUGCUCUGGGAGAGUUUAUAGUCCUGAGAGUUGAACACUGGAUGACUGACAGCUGUCCUUCAUGACAACAGAAGCCACAGAAAUCCUCCUCAUCAAAAACAUGACUUUGAUCUCCGUCCUCAUCUGGACUCUCCUCUGCUGCUACUUCACAGAGUCCAGAGGCCAGGUCACAGUGACUCAGCCUGGAGCAGUGAGCUCUGCUGUGGGAGGCUCCGUCACCAUCAACUGUAGGACCAGUCAGAAUGUUCAUGUUUAUAACCAAAAGCACUAUUUAGCCUGGUACCAACAGAGAGAUGGAGAAUCUCCUAAACAGCUCAUUUACUAUGCUAGCACUCGACCAUCAGGGAUUCCAGCUCGUUUUACAGGCAGUGGAUCAAACUCUGACUUCACUCUGACCAUCAGUGGAGUUCAGACUGAAGAUGCAGCAGUUUACUACUGUCAGAGUUAUCAUGCCAUCAACAGUCAGCAUGUGUUCACACAGUGAAAAAGCGUUGUACAAA